GCUGCUCCAUGGCCUCUUGGGUUGUGGAGUCAUUCUCUUCUGACCUGAUCACAAACAAAGACAAGAUUCAAACAAAUAAACAUGAUGGUCCAACAUAAUAGAGGGGGGGGGUUAUAGGGAAGAUAGGGGAGAGGAGUGGAGUAUAGGGAAGGUAAUCUGAUUCAUUAUGAUCUAGGAUCAGGUCCCCCUCUCCAUGUAAUCUGAUUCAUUAUUAUCUAGGAUCAGGUCCACCCUCUCCAUGUAAUCUGAUUCAUUAUGAUCUAGGAUCAGGUCCCCCCUCUCCAUGUAAUCUGAUUCAUUAUGAUCUAGGAUCAGGUCCCCCCCUCUCC
rnacentral:lncRNA from 1 species